CUAAAUCCAUAUUCAUAUUAAAUGUCAACUCUGGCAAAAUCACAAAGCCAUUUUGAUCCAGGUUAAUUAUACAUUUUUGAUGCUCUAAACCACACCUAAAAGUUCAGUAUGGUAAAAAACUCCAAAGGAAAAAGACUUGGAAGUUGUGUACUUCCCAGUAAAUAUAACUUCCAAUGCACUGAAUUUAGAAACAACUCUUAUUUUGAAGCUCAGAUGUAAUUUCUGUUCGAAUAAUUCAAAUAACACCCCAAACAAACUUCUCAAUGCUCCAGUUUUCAGACAGAUUUCCUUGGUUCGUGGAGAACUUGCUUCGUAAGACAACAUGUUUUAUGAAAAUAGCUAAUAAGAGUGUUGUUCCAACAUUUUGAAUUCACAUACUUCUAAGUUCAAUUCGCUCAUUGUAAUGUUACUCCAACGCUUGCAAUCGCCAAGCUUUGAAAGAAAAACCAGAGCAAUAUUAAAGAAUUCAUAAAGACUCUUCACGGACUAGAAAAAGUUUGUAAGAUGCUGAGCUUGUUAACUUCAUAUAGAUCAUCGAUGGCCAUACUCAUUACUGUAAGUAGGAUCCAUGUUUCCAUACACAGGCCCCGAAGCAUUCCCACAAGCGGGAGUGGUUGUAUUACCAUAUGCAGGACCAUUACUGGACUCAUAUGCAGGGCCCAUGUUGCUCCCAUAUGUUGGACCACAGCUAUAGCUCCCGUUUGCGAAACCCACUUUGCUCACAUUUGCAGGCUCUGUGGUACUCCCAUUAGGAGACGUAUGGCUCACAUAUGCAGAACCCGUAGUAUUACCAUAUGCAGGACCCGUUGCAUUCCCAUAUUCAGGACCUGGAUUGCUCCCAUAUGCAGGACCCGCAACAUUCCCGUAUGCAGGACCCAUAUUGCUCCCAUAUGCAGGACCAGCGGCAUUCCCAUAUGCAGGGCUUGCAUUGCUCCCAUAUGCAGGACCUGUGUUGUUCUGAUAUGCAGGGCCCGUGUCGUUCUGAUACGCAGGACUUGCAGCAUUCCCAUAUGCAGGGCCUGCAUUGCUCGCAUAUGCAGGACCAGUGUUGCUCCCAUAUCCAGGACCUACAUUGUUCCCAGGUGGAGUUGGUGAUGGCCUGGGUCUUGCAUACUCAGCAAAUAUAACCCAUCCAUCCAAAAACUAUAAAACACAGUAAAAUCAGAAAGAGAGUAUAUGGAACAAUAAGAUAGAAAAGAAAAUGACUCGCAACUAAAAAAAGAAAAAAUAACAUUAUUACUAAAAUAGGUAAAAUUAACUAUGAUAAACAAACUGAAAAACAAAAACUAAAACAUUCUCAUUUGCAUCCUACAAAAUUAAACUGGCAAAAUAAGCAUCAAGAUAAAUCAACAUUGUUACAGAAAUAGGUAAAAUUAACAAUGAGUGGAUUUUCAAUUAGAGUUCCCAAAAUUCAAUAGCUUGCUGUAUGCCUUGAAAAGAUCAUGCACAAACUGUAUAAAAUGGACUGGGCAUUGGAAAAUUCUACUUAACACUUUAUCCUAUUACUUGGAACACACUAUAAUAAUAGUGUAGUACCUCUUUAAUUUUAUCCAAGCAAUGAAAGCACAAAAUCGCAGACUCACCUUCCCAUCCAUGCCUUCUAUACCUUUAGCCGCAUCUUCUAAGCUACCAUAUUUGACAAAACCAAACCCCUUAGAAUAUCCCGACACCCUAUCAGUCACCACUCUAGCAUGAACCACUUCACCAAACUUGGAAAAUGCUUCCCUUAGUCCCUCUGUAGUAGUACGCUUGCUAAGUCCAGAGACAAAGAGAUUGGUGUUGGGCUCAGCUUUUUCUCGAGCAGAAGUCUCCUCCGUGGUGG
rnacentral:misc_RNA from 1 species